rnacentral:rRNA from 1 species
GUUGCCAUCAUUCAGUUGGGUCACGUCUAGCGAGACUGCCGGUAAUAAACCGGAGGAAGGUGGGGAGUGACGUCAAAUCAUCAUGCCCCUUAUGACCUGGGCUACACACGUGCUACAAUGGUUGGUACAACGAGUUGCGAGUCGGUGACGGCGAGCUAAUCUCUUAAAGCCAAUCUCAGUUCGGAUUGUAGGCUGCAACUCGCCUACAUGAAGUCGGAAUCGCUAGUAAUCGCGGAUCAGCACGCCGCGGUGAAUACGUUCCCGGGCCUU